rnacentral:rRNA from 1 species
UACAUGGGGUGCAAACGUUGCUCGGAAUUAUUGGGCGUAAAGCGCACGUAGGCGGCUUUGCAAGUUAGAGGUGAAAGCCCGGGGCUCAACUCCGGAAUUGCCUUUAAAACUGCAUCGCUAGAAUUGUGGAGAGGUAAGUGGAAUUCCGAGUGUAGAGGUGAAAUUCGUAGAUAUUCGGAAGAACACCAGUGGCGAAGGCGACUUACUGGACACAUAUUGACGCUGAGGUGCGAAAGCGUGGGGAGCAAACAGG